rnacentral:pre_miRNA from 1 species
AUGUAAGGCAAUGUCUUUAGGGAUAAAAUUACUCAAGAAAAAAAUCAUUAGAUUUCCCUUCAAAUCAAAUGUCUUAU